AUGGCAAAAUAUUGGUGGAGCAGCUCUAUUGAUAGGCGGUCCUUGCACUAGCUGUCAUGGAAGAAUUUGUCAACACCAAAGGUUCAAGGGGGCAUGGGGUUCAAAGAGUUCGAAAAGUUUAAUCUGGCGCUCCUGGGGAAACACGGCUGGCGACUCAUAACCCAUCCCAACUCCCUCUGCUCUCGAGUUCUCAAAGGGAAAUAUUUCCCGGAUUGUGAUUUUAUGCAAGCCAACGCUCCAUCCACUUCGUUAGCAACCUGGAAAGCAAUCAUUGCGGGGAGAAAGGCUUUGCAAACGGGUUUGAUCAAACGAGUUGGCAUCAGAGAUUCAAUCUCCAUAUGGAACGAUUCUUGGAUCCCC
rnacentral:rRNA from 1 species